rnacentral:lncRNA from 1 species
GAUUGCCGGAAGCUGAAGGGAUGCUUUGAACGUGGGGGGGCUGCGUCACAGUUGGACUCCCACUUGCAGAGGACCUGAUUAUGUCCAGUGACCACCUGAACAACAGCACACUGAAGGAGGCUCAGUUCAAAGACCUGUUCUUAAAAAAAGUGACUCAUCUGUUACAGCAUCAUGAACUACAGCGCCGUAGAAGGGGGAUGUGAACGUUUGACUUUGGCCUCAACUUCUUUCCUUGCGUGCCCUGCUUUCUAGCACUCUUCUGUGGACAUCUGUUACUGUUGAACAAGGAAACUCAACCAGUGGUCUGUGUUCAGAAUCCGUGUUAGGCGUGUAGCAUCUUGGAAGCCCCAAAGCAUCCUAUUAAUUUUCUAAGAAUGCUACUAUUCCUGCGGGUUUUAUUUUUCUAAACUUUCUGUUUUAACAGUUCUUCCAGAAUUCAUUUUCUUCUUAGCCUCCCCUUUCCAGCCCACUCCUCCCCAACCCCUAAAAACGAAACCCAAACCCCAGGUGUCUUUCCUUUCUGUGGAUGCUGGGCUCCACGCACCACAG